rnacentral:rRNA from 1 species
UACGUAGGGGGCAAGCGUUGUCCGGAAUCAUUGGGCGUAAAGCGCGUGUAGGCGGCUAGAUAAGUCUGCUCUGAAAGCCCGGGGCUCAACCCCGGGAGGCGGGUGGAUACUGUCUAGCUCGAGUCCGGAAGAGGAGUGUGGAAUUCCUGGUGUAGCGGUGAAAUGCGCAGAUAUCAGGAGGAACACCAAUGGCGAAGGCAGCACUCUGGGACGUGACUGACGCUGAGACGCGAAAGCGUGGGUAGCAAACAGG